UACGGGGGGGGCAAACGUUGUUCGGAAUUACUGGGCGUAAAGCGCGUGUAGGCUGCUUCGCAAGUCGGAUGUGAAAGCCCUGGGCUCAACCCAGGAAGUGCAUUCGAAACUGCAGAGCUGGAGUCCUGGAGAGGAAGGCGGAAUUCUCGGUGUAGAGGUGAAAUUCGUAGAUAUCGAGAGGAACACCGGUGGCGAAGGCGGCCUUCUGGACAGUGACUGACGCUGAGACGCGAAAGCGUGGGGAGCAAACAGG
rnacentral:rRNA from 1 species